AGGAUGAACGCUGGCGGCGUGCCUAACACAUGCAAGUCGAACGUCCUGUCUCGCAAGAGGCAGGGAGUGGCGGACGGGUGAGUACCACGUGGGUCAUCUACCGUGAGGUGAGGAAUACCGGCGAGAAAUCGCCGACAAGACCGCAUAGCCUCGGUGCAAGUCGAGGAAAGCUCUCUCGAGAGAGGGAGCGCCACACGAGGAGCCUGCGCCCGAUUAGCUAGCUGGUGGAGUAAUGGUUCACCAGGGCGACGAUCGGUAGCUGGUCUGAGAGGACGAUCAGCCACACUGGGAUUGAGAACGGCCCAGACUCCUACGGGGGGCAGCAGUGAGGAAUUUUCGUCAAUGGGGGCAACCCUGAACGAGCAACGCCGCGUGCAGGAAGAAGGUUUCGGAUCGUAAACUGCUUUCUCGGGAAGAGAACGGACGGUACCGAGGAAUCAGCCCGGCUAACUACGUCGCCAGCAGCCGCGGU
rnacentral:rRNA from 1 species